rnacentral:tRNA from 1 species
AUCUGUUUAGUAUAUAAGUAUAUUUGACUUCCAAUCAAAAGGUUUGGGUAAACCAAAACAGAUA